GACCACUCUUUCUAAAUAUCACCCCCUCUCUCUAUUUCACUAUCCCAAUUUAAUUUUAAUCACGGCACUUACAAACACCUGAUACAUUACUUGUAUUUGGGGACCACAUGAUCCCAACAGAAUGUAAACUCCAUGAGGAAAAGGUUGAUUUUCUCUGUCCUAACAUACAGAGUUGUGCUUGACUCAUACUUUGGAGAGAAUGAAUGAAUGAUGUAAUGAACAAACAAAUUUAAACUUGUUGAGAGAGGCAUAGCUAGACAGGGUGAGGAUUCUGCUAUGAAACAUAUUCAGGGAUGACAAGGUGGUGACAAAGCCAUGGUCUUUAUCUCACCUACGUGGUGGUGUCCUUGGGUUCCCUCGGCGUUGACCCCUUUCCUAACAGAAUGGAAGGUCCUUUUGUCUCUUCCACAUAUUACUCGCAGUGAGCGAAAGAGGGCUUUACCACACCAGGCCUGCAGAUUCCAGUCUGAAGCUUUAUCUAUCCUGCCCCUUGGGGGACUGCAGCUGGGUUUCCCCCAUGAGACCUAUUCUGUAUUGAACAGGAAAGCACAAACAAUCACAAUGCCCAGCAAAGAUAAAGUGUUUUCCAUGCUCUCUGUUACGACAGUGAUCACCAUAGAGACGUAAUCUUCAGUUUAUGGAGACUUUUUUCUGAGUCCCAAAUUGCAGGAAUCUGUGGGGUUUUCCCCCUAACCUUGCCCUUCUGCCCUUUGUGGAUCCUCCUGGAAUGGUCCACAGGCAUCUACAUCUGCUGUUCCCCAAUCCCACCAGCAAGGGCCGCAGAAGAUGAAACAGUUCUGUCCUGGGAUGUACCACCGAGGGGUAGCAGAAAGACCACCCACUCUGGAAGGUACCAUUUGGAGAGGGCGUGUGACAACAGAGAGGGUCCCCUUACACCGCGUCGGGCAUGGACCACAGUUCCCAGCAGCGGCACUCAUGGCGCCACUAGGUCCAUCCCGACUCGCUCCUCUUCGUCUUCCCACUGCUUUUGAAUCCGAGUGGACACAGAAAUAUCAGUGGGCAAGUGGCGUCAACAUUGGGACCUAUAGAUCAAGAUCGCCCAAGCUGGAUGAACCUGUGGUUGUGAGUAUCUUACCAUUUGAUGUUUUCUAUUAGCACAAGUUUAUUUUUGAGAAAAUCAUGUUAAGUAGUACAGAUGCAGUGAUAAAGGUCUUCCAUGCUGAUAAAGGGUGACAGUUUGUCUUAGGAAGGAACAUUGAUCCAGAUAUAUUACAGUCUGGCAUUGCCUAUGAGUAUACUGUUGAAUUACCUGGAAAUGUGCCCAGUGACUCCCUCCUCCUGCUUAUUAACAACAGACUGCAUACUUCCAUCCCAAUAUAGAUUUAAAUAACUUCCAAAGUCUUUCUGGGUAACUCUUAUGGGAGCUAACUCUUCUCUGUGGGAAGAGUAACUUUAUUAAAAGUAAGUACAUAGAAUUGUGUUGGGAAAAUGUUGUUAGGUUUACUUAUGCUCAGAUAUAUCUAUGUAUUAUGUAUAUUUAUGCUAUUAGAUGGAUUAACAACAAAAAAUUUUUAUUUGCAUACACACUCUACUUGGACCAGCAGCCCAGUGUUGAGCAACCUCAACAAGAGGAACCACCAGCUGGGAUUCAGGAUAUCACACUUGGGAAGGAGGAAGUAAAUGGAGAGGAUCCGGUGAAUCAUAAUGAAGAGAAGGAGAAGGAUGCCUCUGGAGGUAAAGUGUAAGUGUGCAUCAUGUCUUAAGACAUAACCAGUAAGAGGAGGAAAGGAAACAUUAGAAAAGGACUUCAGACAGUUCCUAAAAAACUGAGCAGAGUAUAGUUUGCAGGUCAGUGUGGUCGCUCAAAUUUUCCCUUGUUUUCAAGACAAAGAGAAGGGGGCACCUAAGUUGUCUGAGGACAACCCUGGGAAAGGAAAAUGGUGAUAGCAAUCGGAAAAUUCUGCUUUCCUUUUCUCCAGCAAAACAUUCCUGGAAUAAUGCUCCUGAGGUUCUUAUUCAUCACAUUUUUACCAUACUAGCCUAAGACUUUUAAUUCAUAAUACUGUGGGAAUCAAUAUCAUCAUUCCCUCGUUUAUACUGUAUGAUUUACAGCUGAAUUGAUACAUUUUUUAAAAGAUUCUGACCUGGAAACUGAUCUCCAGGAAUUUGCUGAAGCAAAGACUGGGGGUAAAGGUGGAGAUGGUCCUGAUGUUAGGGAGGAGAUUGCAUCAAAUCCAGAGCCUGUUGAAAUGCCAGAAGCAGGUAUGUCAUCCAUUCAGAAAGUAAUUUAUGUGGUUUCUGUUUUUUCAGAAUAUUAUAUCUUUACUAAUAUAGAGGGAAGAUUACUAUUAUUUUAAUAACAGAGUUCACAUAUUCUUUGAAAGAUAGUUCAGACCCCAGAUGCCUGAGUGCCUGACUUACAGACUUUCAAAUAAAGAAACAGACAGGAUCA
ensembl:lncRNA